rnacentral:rRNA from 1 species
AUUGAACGCUGGCGGCAGGCCUAACACAUGCAAGUCGAGCGGAUGAAGGGAGCUUGCUCCUGGAUUCAGCGGCGGACGGGUGAGUAAUGCCUAGGAAUCUGCCUGGUAGUGGGGGAUAACGUCCGGAAACGGGCGCUAAUACCGCAUACGUCCUGAGGGAGAAAGUGGGGGAUCUUCGGACCUCACGCUAUCAGAUGAGCCUAGGUCGGAUUAGCUAGUUGGUGGGGUAAAGGCCUACCAAGGCGACGAUCCGUAACUGGUCUGAGAGGAUGAUCAGUCACACUGGAACUGAGACGCGGUCCAGACUCCUACGGGAGGCAGCAGUGGGGAAUAUUGGACAAUGGGCGAAAGCCUGAUCCAGCCAUGCCGCGUGUGUGAAGAAGGUCUUCGGAUUGUAAAGCACUUUAAGUUGGGAGGAAGGGCAGUAAGUUAAUACCUUGCUGUUUUGACGUUACCAACAGAAUAAGCACCGGCCAACUUCGUG